CUGCUGCUAAGGUUUUCACUAUAGAUGCACGAAAAAGAAGGUCCUCACGCUUUCUGUCUGUCUGGUUGUGGCAGCCAAGAUCGAAUGGGGAAUACAGGA
rnacentral:snoRNA from 1 species